GAACUUAACCAAAGACCUUUAGACCAAGAUCCACAGAACAAGACUACUAGGUCCAAGAUCAAGAUUCUGACUGUUGGGAGCCUGCUUCCUGAUUCAUAAACAACUGUCUUCCAGCUAUGUCCUCACGUGGCAAAACAGCUGAAAUCCAGGAUGCUGGAAGCCAUCUCCCCUACCUCCCUCCCAUCUCUUCUUCACACAUCAGAUUCCAACAAGAGAAAUUCCCCUCCAAUUUGUUGCCACCACCAUCUUGCAGCAUAGAAAAUUCUGGCUCCCUGCUCUUCAUGAAGGUGAGACCAAGGUAGAAUCAUCUGCUAUCCAGAGCUGUAACCAAAAUGGAGUUCCGCCAUGACAGCUUUACACAUGAGAGAGAAAUUCUUAAGUCAGACAGUUGAAUUUCAGAGGCUGCUUGUACUCUGAUUCAGCAACACUCUUCUGAUGGAAAACUGCCACACAAAGAAUUAAGGUGUUCACUGUGAAAUAACAGAAACCUCAUCGUGUGCAACGGGUACAACGGACCAUCUGUAGUGCAUGUACAUAAUACAACACAUACAGCAGGAGUUCAAAGGCCGAAAGAUGUGAAGAGUUUCCUCACCUGUAAAACUGCAAAACAGAACUGUCCUGAUACGGUACUUGUGAGGAUUAAAUGGAUGAUGAAUAUAAAGGGCUUUGCCGAGGACCUCGUUCUUACUCAAUAAUUUAGCUAUUAUCAAUAUUACUGCCUACUAAUCUCUGCGUUGCCUACAAAAGUACCCCAACAAAAGUUUUCUUUGUAUUUCUCACCCUCUCACAAAUACAACCCCAAUUAUAUAGUAUCUGUUCUUCUGAACAGAGUCCAGCAAACUAAGAAUACUAUUUAAGAGAAUUUCUUUUGCUUGUCUCUUUUAGAGAUCACUCUUAUCUCAAAUUGAUCUUUAAAUUCUAGAAAUGUCCAGUCCCUACAAAUAGAGUUUAAAAUUUAA